AUUUCGUUGUAAACGUACGCAAAUCAAGAAUUUUUAAUUGCACUAAAAUUUUUCAAUAGAAAAUUAAAUUCAAGCCAACAUUUUCCUGAACAGAAAAAAAAUAACCAGGAAAAGUGCAGUGAAAUUUACAAUUUUUUUAAAUCAAAGAGGAAUUAUACAUU